rnacentral:rRNA from 1 species
AACGAACGCUGGUGGCGGGCCUAAUACAUGCAAGUCGAACGAGAAAGUUCCUUCGGGAAUGAGUACAGUGGCGCACGGGUGAGUAACACGUAGGUGACCUACCUUUUAGUGGAGGACAACCUUGGGAAACUAAGGCUAAUACUGCAUAAGUUGAGCAAUUUUAGAAGUAGCUCAAGAAAGACUUCGGUCGCUGAAAGAAGGGCUUGCGGACCAUUAACUUGAUGGUGGGGUAAUGGCCUACCAUGGUUACGAUGGUUAACUGGUCUGAGAGGAUGAUCAGUCACACUGGAACUGAGACACGGUCCAG